CCCAAAUCAAUUAGCCCACUCAUUCUUUCUCUCUUCAACUCCAUCAACACCACCCUUCUCUCUCUACCAUACACGAACACCACCAAACCAUGACGUCGUCGACAAAGUGAUUUUGGGGUGUUAAUUAGGCUGAUAACUUUGACUGUUGAUGUCAAUUAGGCUUUGUAGAACCCUAAAUAUGCAACAGUUGGCUCUACAAUGGAUUUUGCCCAAAGUAGCGGCUUCUCAACAAUGGCGUAGACAUGUUCGUAGCCGAACUCCUUCAACGUCUUCACAGAAAGGUAAAAUACUUGUAACCAUUCGAUGAAUAAGGUCCAAUUAUAGAUUGUAAGGUAAAUUCUCCAGAAAUUUGAGAAAAACCUGGCCAUUGGAAGUGAAUUCUGGCAAUAGAUCUGAGCUAAGAGAAAAAGGGGGAGAGAGAGAGAGAGAGAGUGUGUGUGUGUGUGUGUGUGGAAUAUAUGAAGAUGAAUAUUGAAUGGGGAUUAGGUGGACUGAUUAACGAUGCUGGUGUGCAAUGCGAUAAAUUAUUGUUUAAAAAAUUUACAAUUUCAUUAUUCAAAAUUAAGAAAAUUUACUGAUCUUUUGUGGUUGUGCAGAUCUGAGCGAUGGAAUGUGGGUGGUGUGUAUAAAUCUAUGGGUGGUGUGUGGACCUGUUGAUCUACAUGUUGUGGUGGUGGCUAGGGUUUAUUGUGACCUAUAAAUAAUGUAACCAAAAAAUAUGCAAUUUUGUAACUAAAUUUGUAAUUAUGACCUGUAAUUUGUGUUUAUUUAAUAAAUAAAUAAAUUAUUAAAAAUGA
rnacentral:lncRNA from 1 species